rnacentral:lncRNA from 1 species
GCUUGCCCUAAAAUCCCCAUGACUCAUCUCCUAACCCCAUUCAACCCCUCCCAUUGCCAAUCCACCUCAAUUUCUUGGGAGAUUUAAGCAUUAUGGUCCCCAUAGUUCGAUCCGCCAUCGUGAAGAGGAGUAAAGGAGGAGAACCUUCUGAGAAACGGGCAAAACUCUGAGAAGACCUAGAUGCACUCUGUCCAGCCCCUCCAACGUCUAUCCCACCUCUAGCCCAAGUCUCCAUGGCCUCUCGUGCAGUCACCACUGGAUUUUAAGUUUUUAGAAGAGCACUUUCAGAUCGAUAAUUGGCUCCGACAGCAAGGGUGGGAGAAGAUGUAUUCCUUAAAGGUACUUAUUUAUCCUAGCCUAAUGAGGGAGUUCUUUGAGAAUUUGAGAGAGGACACAGGCACCCUUUGGUCAACCAUGAAAAACACUGUGGUUGUCUUAAGUGAAAGAAAAUUAGGACACCUGCUAGAAAUGCCUAGGACUGGCAUAUGCUAUCCUUCUUUAGAGAAUGAUCUUGUUAGAUUAAGAA